ACACGGUCCUACCUCCUAACGGGGAGGGCAGCAGUGGGGAAAUAUUGCCAAAGGGGGGGAAACCCUGAUGCAGCCAUUCCCGCGUGUGUGAAGAAGGCCUUCGGGUUGUAAAGCACUUUCAGCGAGGAGGAAAGGUUGAUGCCUAAUAUGUAUCAACUGUGACGUUACUCGCAGAAGAAGCACCGGCUAACUCCGUGCCAGCAGCCGCGGUAAUACGGAGGGUGCAAGCGUUAAUCGGAAUUACUGGGCGUAAAGCGCACGCAGGCGGUUGGAUAAGUUAGAUGUGAAAGCCCCGGGCUCAACCUGGGAAUUGCAUUUAAAACUGUCCAGCUAGAGUCUUGUAGAGGGGGGUAGAAUUCCAGGUGUAGCGGUGAAAUGCGUAGAGAUCUGGAGGAAUACCGGUGGCGAAGGCGGCCCCCUGGACAAAGACUGACGCUCAGGUGCGAAAGCGUGGGGAGCAAACAGG
rnacentral:rRNA from 1 species